ACCUGUCUAAAUUUUGUGUUGUCUGCACCUUCGAGUUUCUGAUUUCGGCGCAUCCCAACCCAAAACCUACCACUUUAGGUAUACCCUUCGGUGGGCAGCCGGAUAAAACCCGACAGCAUCGUCCUGCUGCACAUGUACAUGGUGUGCCACCACCUCCGAGACCCCAUCCGACUGAAGCGCCCGCACGCCUGGUUCGCGCCAGUGGUGCUCUUGCUGUCUCCACGACCUACUUCGCUCACUAUGCCACCCUCCCAAGCACGAUCGGCGUCCAUCCGGCCGAGAAGGUUGCCGCAGCUGCCGCUUCUUUGAUCCUGUCCGUCUUCACCACCAUUCUUGUCUUGUGGGAGUAGUGGUGCCUCUGAAGGGGACCAAGGUGGAUGGUCCUUGGGUCUGAGUGCCGAUGAGGCUUAGUAUAACUUGCAGCAGCAAAUUCUGGGGUCUGUGUCAGCAAAUUUAGUUAAUUUCAGAGCUCAUUUAUGCUUUGUUUAUGGCAUUCGUGGUGUAAAACCUAAGGUUCAUGUGCUGUUGCUUGAGUGCAAGUCA